GGACACGCCCCUUUGAGCUGCGUGCUACAGCGAGGCUAAGCUAGUGGGGGCAAAGUUUCAGUGUAUUCCGUUGAUGUAGACGGCGUGAAAACGGAAACAACAAGUAUGCCGGCUCACUGUGCUGCAUACAGUUGCACACUACGUCGUACGAUUGAGACAAGGAAACUUGGAAUGACUUUUCAUAGGUUUCCCAGAGACUAUGGGUUGAGGAGGAAUUGGAAGUUUGUCGGCUUAGACCUGGUGUCAUUCCAUCAGUGUUAAACUUCCCGGCUCAUCUUGGAAGAGUACGUGCCAGAAAGACCACGACCAAGCAGCCUUGAGAUCUUAGGCAGCGUCUCCCUCAGGUCCCUCUCUAUCUCCCCACACAUCCACCAACCACUGGAACACAUCUCCAAAGUUCUGCUGGACCAGCUCAGCUUCCCCUCAGAAGAAGUGGCGCCACCUGCCAGAUGAAGGAGCCUUUUGAGAGACAGCUGGCAUCGUGAUUGGACUGUACUUUGGUCUGUUCCAAUCCAGCUUCAGCUCCAGAGACGGCAGGCGGGACGAGUCAACGGAGGCCGGAUGGACGAAGUCAUGAAGCUGAGUACAAUCCAGAAAACAACAGAGGAGGAAUGCAGGGUCCAGGGCCAGAACAACCAGAGUAGCAUUUCGCUGUAAAAAGUCAGUCCAUCCUGGCCGACUUCAACACCUCUUCAUGACAACUUGUUCUGCCUCCGACCUGGUGGAAACUCCAGAAACUCGGGAAAACCUGUGGAGACUCGAAGAACUCGUG
ensembl:lncRNA